GUGGCUUCUAGAGUCUUCUAUAUGAUAGAAAAUUGGCGCACACGUUAAUAUCUCUAUGUAAACCGGACAUGUGGGCCUUUCCUCCGUAUUUCCUGAUAACCCCAUGCAGAAAUAGACAAACACCAAAACUCAUGGAAUUCUGUUAGAUGAAACCCUAAUUUUGGAUGUUGGUUGCAUAUCGGUCCUUUUCCAUGAUUAGUUGACGGUUAAAUCUGAGCAUUAAGGACCAUCAACAAGCUCCCCCAAGCUUACCUCUUGCAUGUCCCUGAGCAAGGAUGGACUCAAGAGUUUCUGCAGUGGUUUCAUGCCUUAAAGGUACACAUGCGCUCAAACAAGAUCUCAUCUCUGGGUUAGUGUAAACUGUUAAGAUUUAAACAUACUCAUUUUAUCUUCCACCACGGGGCUUGCAACCGUCACUUGUGUCUUGAGCAGUUAAAAGAUAGAACGGUCUAGUCAAACACCAUGUCUCUUGUUCUUCGAUUAACUAUAGCUCUGGAGUUUUUGCAGAUUUUCAAAUAAAACUCAGAGAUUCCUUGUAUGACUCUCUCUAGUCUCUCUUUUGUGGUAUUUUUGGAACCUUACUAAGGCAGUAAUGGUGUAUGCCUUCUCUCAAAGUAUGUGGUAUUUUUGGUAUGAGGCAUAGUGGCAUUGCGUUCUCUCUCACCCUACUCUAAUAAGGUUUUCUUAUCUGGAGCUCAUAGGUGGGAGACAGCUAAUACAUACUUACAAGACAUUUAUUGGGUAGUCAAACCAUGGAUCUAGAAGAACAAGUCAAUAAGUCAAAUCAAGAUGUGUAUGUGUGGCGAAUGAAUGGUGAUGAUGGUGAAAAUAAUGGUGAAAGUCUAAUUCUACUUUUGCUUUUUUUAGGGGGUACAUACCUUCCUUUCACUUGAUACUUUAGAGGGGAAUGAGAUGCUCUAUAUUUUAUUUUUAUUUUCUCUCAGGUGGGUAUCUUGUAUCCCUAAUUCUACUGUCGGACACUUGUCCAUUUUUACCUCUCGUCUCACUUUUUCUUUUUUUUUCUCUUUUUUUCGAGAUUUCGGGCACUUGCCCCUUUUUAUUUCCUCGUAUUCACUUUUUUCAGAGCACUCACCCUCCUAGAAUAAUGUAGCAGUGGUAGUAACCAAAAUAUCUCGAGCAUUUAUUUCACGGGGAAUAACAGGGAUAGGAUAAUAUUUUUAGCUAUUCUCUCCUAGAUAGGAGUAGAAUAAUUUUUGGUGAAUCUGGAUAUGGAAAUGAGUGGAUGUAUGUGGAUGCGUACUUCCGGAUUAGAAGCAGCAUGUAUGAGUGAGCGUGCAAGUGAAUCUUGAUUUUAACCACAUGACAAGCUCCUAAGGGUCUACACAGCUUGACCACACUCAAUGCUCAUAAGCAGUAAAAAGUAAAUGAAUGGUUCAUACUCUAAUCAGCAUGUAUAUAUGGCUGUGGUAGGAUUUUAAACUCUCAUCAUACAGGAACUCAUCAUGCAACAUUUUAAAGAUUUUCAAAGAUAAAAUUCUCCAGAAUUUUAGUAUCUCUAGGAACAGAUAAAUAGCAGCUCAACCUUCCCAUAUCGUAUCCGUUAACGACUUAGACUUUGGAUCAAGUACUCUUCCCACAAGUUCAGGUUUAGAGCAAAUCUUAAUUCAUAAUAGUCAUGCCUAAACUUGAGAGAGAUUUCAAUUUUGACAACCAGUCAUGGUAGAGCAGCUAUUCAUCAUUUCCAUGUGAGAGCUUAUCAUGAGGGUUCAUAGCAAACUUUAUUUAUUUAUUUAUUUAGUAAAAUAAGCAAAGAUAUAUAUAAGCACAAAAUCUUUAUUUGGGUUUUUUAUGAUUAUGCACCUUUUUAUUAUUAGAGUAAAGUAUAAACGUGAGUAGAACACUUAGCUGGAUAAAUGGGGGUGCUCUCCCCAAGCUGGAUUUUGACGUAAUUUCUUCUGAUGUAGCUAGCAGGUGGCGGAGGUGUAUUUGAAUGUCGGCAGCACCCUGACAGCGAUUAGGAUGUCCUCCGUCUGCUAGUCUUCUUUGAUCCUUGAAUUCUGUGGAGCUCAAAUAGACAACAAAGCUUUUGGAACUAGUUAAGUGUUAGCAUAAAUAUCUAGCCUUUAUCAUGUUGAGCCUCCUCAAUAAAUGUUACUCUCUUUAGUAGGAUCAUAAAUUUAUUUUUAUAUUUUUAUUUUUAUAGGAUAGAAAUAUAUUUAUUUUAGGAGGCAACCCUGCAAAGCUGGGCCCACCUGGCAGCUAGCUAGGGGCGCCCGCACAUAGGGUAGGGGCGGGCGCCCCUCCCUCUCAGGUAAUGAGGGUCAAUCACGUGGAUCCUACCUCCACCAACUUUGAGGAGUAAUCUUGACCACCUGUUUAGGUCAGUUUGAUUUGAGGGCUAUGGUGCAUUCAAGAGGGCUAUAAAAGCAAGGCCCAUGCCCCCUCGAUCAGUGCCAAUUCAGAAACUGUUGGUAUAAAUUAACUGCACCCUAAUAAUGAUUAUAAUCAGAUUAUCCGCAAGCACAAAGAUGUAUACUGAUCAGCACUUCACCAAGAUCAACCCAGUUUUAAUAUCGAACAUAAAGGAAUAGUAGGUGAUUUAUGACUUAGCCUAUAAUUUCUUAAUCUAAGGGGGCACAAACAAUCUAGAAACUAUUGAUGAUGAGGAAAUACUAAUGUACUCUGGUUCCAAUAACCGGUAAACUUUGUACAGUAUCCUCUUAUCAGGCAAGUAACCCGAAUAGGGGAAGAAUCAGAGUAAUCCCCUAUCAGGCACCUAUAAGCCUAUUAAUCAUAUCAACGGGAAGUAGACUAUAGAGGAAUCAACGUAGCUAUAAAGUCACCUAUGCGAACUACCACUGUCUGGUUGAUUAGGGGACAUUCACAAGCAACCAUAGCCUAGACACCACGUCUACGCUACGAAUCACUACUCCGACCUAGGUACUACCCAAAUCAUAGUACUCAAUAUAAUAUGAGUUGCAAACCAAAGAAUGAAUACAAACAAGUUGCUAACUUGAAUCAGAAGGGU
rnacentral:lncRNA from 1 species